ensembl:snoRNA
GCAUGGUCAGAUUUAUAGGGGGAUCUUCUGUGUGGUCCUUCUGUAGUGUACUCCAUGCUAGAGAAACCAAUCACCUCGAACCAUUGUCAUGCCUCAUAACCAUAGGCUUGUUCACUGAAGUAGGUGAGACAAUG